AUGAGCUUUUGGGGAGCAACAGUAAUUACAAGUUUAGCUAGUGCCAUACCAGUAGUAGGAGAUACCAUAGUGACUUGGCUUUGGGGUGGUUUCUCAGUGGACAAUGCCACCUUAAAUCGUUUUUUACUCCAUCAUUUACUCCGCCUUAUUUUAGUAGGCGCCAGUCUUCUUCAUCUGGCCGCAUUGCAUCAAUAUGGAUCAAAUAAUCCAUUGGGUGUAGGGAAGCUAAGUCUCGGGGCAUGA
rnacentral:rRNA from 1 species